AAGCUUCGAGGCGGCCAGUACUGUUGAGUGCGACAAGCAGAGGCGCCGCCUUAGCGGCCUGGACUCAAAAACAAUGGCGGCUAUUGAUACAGAACGAGAUGGAUUAGCCCCAGAAAAGACAUCGCCAGAUAGAGAAAAGAAGAAAGAACAGUCAGAUAUAUCUGUUUCUCCUAGAGCCUCAAAACAUCAUUAUUCAAGGUCGAGGUCAAGGUCAAGAGAAAGAAAACGAAAGUCAGAUAAUGAUGGGAGAAAGCACAGGAGCCGGAGCAGAAGCAAAGAGGUAAUUAAUACUUUGUAGUGAAUAGGUGCUUUACAAUUCUUAUAAAGUAUCUGGUAGAAAUGUUUUUGUGCCUAUUUGCCAUUGUCAAGG
rnacentral:lncRNA from 1 species